CAUGUUCAGUUGGGGUCGACUCAAGGUUGGGUCGACUCAAGUUCCAUUUGGGUCGACCCUCUCAGGGAUUCCAGAGACUUGUUUUCUUAAGGCUUGAAGAUGGGGUCGACUCAACUUUCACUUGGGUCGACCCAAGUACUGUUCAUCCGUGCCAUUUUUGCAGAAGUGUGCCAGAUGUUUCCUUGAUGUGCCGGGGUCGACUCAAUCCACACUUUGCUGCAACUUAAGGUUAGAUUCAUCCAUACAAUCAAUGAAAUAAACUUCAAACAAUUUCGAAUAUAUGUCAUGGUGGUGCUACAUACUCUAAACAAUGAAAAUUACUAUUGUCCACUUAAGAGUACGUUUCACUUGAAACUUUGCCGAAUUGAAAUUUUGAAUUCACUAUCCCUUUUCUAUCGCAAAUUUUAUCUCAUUGUUAAUCAUUAAAAUACAUCUUGAUCUCAUUCUACUAAUGUCCCGAGAGUGACGAACUUAGUAAUGAUGUAUCAUAUUACCUUGUAAUAUUUAAUUAGGUAUACCCUCAAUGGUUGUGUUAAUCAUCAAAAUAACACUAUCAUCCUCAAUCUCCCCCUUUUUGAUGAUUACAAAAUAUUGAGUAUGAGCAAAUUGAUUCUUAUCCUAAAAUUAGUUUUAGAAGGGCUCAAGUAGCUGAAUUUCAGCUUUUUACAUUUGAGAGUGAAGUCUCCCCCUAUUUCAUCCAAAUAUUGCCAAUUUGAACUUUUGAUUUACUCCCCCUUUCUUUUAUAUUUGGUUAAAGAUGAAACGUCAAAAAUUUGAGAUAAAGCAAGAGUUUCAGAUUAUGUAUCAAGGUGUGAGAGGUAUGUACCAAAUUCUAAAAUUUGAUUAAAAGUUUAGAUUUUAAUACAUAUCGCUCCCCCUUAAGUGUAUAUUGUCCUUGUUUGUCAACUUAUUACAACUUAAUUUUCUUUCCUUGCUUCUCCCCCUUUUUGUUAUCAUCAAAUAGGU
rnacentral:lncRNA from 1 species